AAGGGAGAUUUGAGGAGCUUUCAGCCUGGACAGAAAACAGAAGGAGGAACGCCAGCUCUUUGAGAUACAGAGCAAGGAAGCCAAAGAGCGACUGACAGCUUUGACUCGUGAAAAUGAGAAACUGAAGGAAGAGCUGGGAAAACUAAAAGGGAAACUGGAAAGGUCAUUUGCGGACCCCAAUGGUGACUCUAGGCCUCCCAAGGCAGAAGCAGAACAGGAAGCAGAGCAGCUAAAGACACAGGUGGCCCGCCUUCAGGCUGAGAAGGCCGACCUACUGGGCAUCGUCUCAGAAUUACAGCUCAAGGUCAACUCCAGAGGCUCCGCAGAAGACUCCUUUGUUGAAAUUAGGAUGGUUGAAGGAGAAGCAGAUGGGUCAAUAAGAGAAAUCAAGAAUAGUCCUGGGCCCAUAAAAACGGACUCCACAUCCAUUAACACGAGCAAAUCUGCAGAAGGUGCCAGAAAUUAUUUGGAAUUUGAGGAAUUAACUGUGAGCCAGCUCCUGCUUUGCCUAAGGGAAGGAAACCAGAAGGUGGAGAGACUUGAAACUGCUCUCAAAGAAGCCAGAGAAAGGUAUGAAAUAGAUUAAUAUGGAAUGUGCACACAUCUUAACUGCUUUAUUGAAAUAUCAUUUAGAUACCGCACAGUUCACCUGUGGAAAGUGUGCAUCUCAAUAUUUCUAGAACAUUCACCAGGUGAUGCAAUCAUUGCCACAACAGAAUUUUAGAACGGUUUCCCCUAUAGCAGAAAUCCAGUACCCACUAGCACUCGCUUUCCACUCCUUCCAGUGAUCUGCUUCCUGUGCCUGUAGAUUUGUCCAUUCUGCGCAUUUCAUAGAACUGAAGCAAUCCAUAUGCGGUUCUUUGUGACCGGUACUUCACCACUGUUGCUGUUGAAUAAUAUUCCACUGUAUGAGUAUAAACCUUUUUAUUUUUCUGUGCACCAUUUGUUGGCCAUUUGGAUGGUUUCCUCUUUUUACCGGCAUCCACAUCGUUUCACAUUCACACGAGCAGCGUAUGAGUGUUCUACUUUCUCCAUAUCCAUACCAACACCUGCUAUUGUCUAGCUCUUUAUUUUAGCCAUGCUAGUAGAUGGGAAUGGGUAUCUUCUUGUACUUUCAUUUCUAUUUCCCUAG